rnacentral:misc_RNA from 1 species
UGGUUCUGGCAUCGAUGAAGAACGCAGCGAAAUGCGAUAAGUAAUGUGAAUUGCAGAAUUCAGUGAAUCAUCGAAUCUUUGACAUGCCUGUUCGAGCGUCAUUACACCCCUCAAGCCCGGCUUGGUGUUGGGCAGGGCCGGUGGCCCGCCUGAAAAUCAGCACGGUCGUGUGAACCUGGCGCACAAACGCCGCCGACGGGAUCACGGUCCGUUCGUGCAUGAUGCAAACACGUUGACCUCGGAUCAGGUAGGAAUACCCGCUGA